rnacentral:rRNA from 1 species
GACGUAGGGCGCGAGCGUUGUCCGGAAUUAUUGGGCGUAAAGAGCUCGUAGGCGGCUUGUUGCGUCGGCUGUGAAAACCCGCGGCUCAACCGUGGGCUUGCAGCCGAUACCGGCAGGCUAGAGUUCGGUAGGGGAGACUGGAAUUCCUGGUGUAGCGGUGAAAUGCGUAGAUAUCGUGUGGAACGCCGAUGGUGAAAACAGGUUGCUGGGGCUGUGCUGACGCUGAGACACGAAAGCCAGGGGAGCGAACGGG